UAGGUGUCAUGUGAUCACAGAGUCAGCUGACCUGAGUCAAGCCGGAAGAAGCUCUGGAUUGGAUCUCCUGACAUCAUGAGGUUCCGGUUCUGUGGCGAUCUGGACUGUCCCGACUGGGUCCUGGCAGAGAUCAGCACACUGGCCAAAAUUUCCUCUGUGAAGCUGCGACUGCUGUGUAGCCAGGUGCUAAAGGAGCUUCUGGGUCAGGGGAUUGAUUAUGAGAAGAUCUUGAAGCUUACUGCUGAUGCCAAGUUUGAGUCUGGAGACGUGAAGGCCACGGUCGCGGUGCUGAGUUUCAUCCUGUCCAGUGCAGCCAAGCAUAGUGUCGACAGUGAUUCCUUGUCCAGUGAGCUGCAGCAGCUGGGGCUGCCCAAAGCCUGAGACCCACCCCUUAAGCCCAGUGCCAGUCUCCACCCGCCACCUCAGCAGAGCCCCCUCAGAGCUCCGUCUGCCUGCAGAGCAUGCCACCAGCCUGUGCCGCUGUUACGAAGAGAAGCAGAGCCCCCUGCAGGAGCACCUUCGGGCCUGUAGCCUACGUGUGAACAGGCUGGCCAGCGUGGGCUGGCGGGUAGACUACACCCUGAGCUCCAGCCUGCUUCAUUCUGUGGAGGAGCCCAUGGUACAUCUGCAGCUACAGGUUGUGCCUGCUCCAGGUACCCAGGCCCAACCUGUUUCCAUGUCCCUCUCGGCAGACAAGUUCCAGGUUCUCCUGGCAGAACUGAAGCAAGCCCAGACCAUGAUGACUGCUUUGGGCUGAGAAGAGUGUUCCCAGCCUCUGUGAGGCCUCUCUGCCUGCACUGAGUGGCUGCCCUCCACACGCCUCUUACUAGGGUGGCCCUGGCCUCUUAGUCCUGGUUAGGGCUACUGGGGAUCGUCCCCAAAAUUGCCUUCUUUCUUUUGAAAGAAAGUACUUGCCAACCAUUUUUAUAGGCAAGAAGAAUAAACAAGUGUACAGCAAUGUG